rnacentral:rRNA from 1 species
CCUACGGGAGGCAGCAGUCGAGAAUCAUUCACAAUGGGGGAAACCCUGAUGGUGCGACGCCGCGUGGGGGAAUGAAGGUCUUCGGAUUGUAAACCCCUGUCAGCAGGGAAGAACGGUCACUGUGCUAAUCAGCAGUGAAUUGACGGUACCUGCAACGGACGCCCCGGCUAACUCCGUGCCAGCAGCCGCGGUAAUACGGAGGGUGCGAGCGUGAAUCGGAAUUACUGGGCGUAAAGCGCGCGUAGGCGGUAUGUCAAGUCAAGGGUGAAAUCCCCGCGCUCAACGUGGGAAUUGCCUUUGAAACUGGCAAUCUGGAGUGUGUGAGAGGAUAGUGGAAUUCCAGGUGUAGGAGUGAAAUCCGUAGAUAGCUGGAGGAACAUCAGUUGCGAAGGCGACUAUCUGGCACAUCACUGACGCUGAGGAACGAAAGCGUGGGUAGCGAACAGGAUUAGAUACCCGUGUAGUC